UACGGGGGGGGGCAAGCGUUGUUCGGAAUUACUGGGCGUAAAGGGCGCGUAGGCGGCCUGCUAAGUCGAACGUGAAAUCCCCCGAGCUCAACUCGGGAACUGCGUCCGAUACUGGCGGGCUUGAAUCCGGGAGAGGGAUGCGGAAUUCCAGGUGUAGCGGUGAAAUGCGUAGAUAUCUGGAGGAACACCGGUGGCGAAGGCGGCAUCCUGGACCGGCAUUGACGCUGAGGCGCGAAAGCUAGGGGAGCAAACGGG
rnacentral:rRNA from 1 species